rnacentral:rRNA from 1 species
GACGAACGCUGGCGGUGUGCUUAACACAUGCAAGUCGAACGGUAAGGCCCUUUCGGGGGUACACGAGUGGCGAACGGGUGAGUAACACGUGAGUAACCUGCCCUCAUCUCUGGGAUAACAGUCGGAAACGGUUGCUAAUACUGGAUAUGAGCUUGCAAGGCAUCUUGUGGGUUGGAAAGAUUUUUUUUGGUUGGGGAUGGACUCGCGGCCUAUCAGCUUGUUGGUGAGGUAGUGGCUCACCAAGGCUUCGACGGGUAGCCGGCCUGAGAGGGCGACCGGCAACAUUGGGACUGAGAUACGGCCCAAACUCCUACGGGAGGCAGCAGUGGGGAAUAUUGCACAAUGGACGGAAGUCUGAUGCAGCAACGCCGCGUGCGGGAUGACGGCCUUCGGGUUGUAAACCGCUUUCAAUUGUGACGAAGCUUUUUUGUGACGGUAGCAGUAGAAGAAGCACCGGCUAACUACGUG